UACGAAGGGGGCUAGCGUUGCUCGGAAUCACUGGGCGUAAAGCGCACGUAGGCGGUCUUUUAAGUCAGGGGUGAAAUCCUGGAGCUCAACUCCAGAACUGCCUUUGAUACUGAGAGACUUGAGUCCGGGAGAGGUGAGUGGAACUCCGAGUGUAGAGGUGAAAUUCGUAGAUAUUCGGAAGAACACCAGUGGCGAAGGCGGCUCACUGGCCCGGUACUGACGCUGAGAUACGAAAGCGUGGGGAGCAAACAGG
rnacentral:rRNA from 1 species